rnacentral:rRNA from 1 species
CCUACGGGUGGCAGCAGUAGGGAAUCUUCCGCAAUGUGGGAAACCCUGAAGCAGCAACGCCGCGUGGGUGAUGAAGGUUUUCGGAUUGUAAACCCCUUUUGUUAGAGAAGAUCAUGACGGUAAGUAACUAUUAAGGACUUGCCAAUACCGGGCCAGCAGCCGCCGUAAUACGGAGGGCGCAAGCGUUACUCGGAAGCACUGGGCGUAAAGUGCGCGUAGGCGGGUUAGCAAGUCAGAUGUGAAAGCCUAUGGCUUAACCAUAGAACGGCAUUGGAAACUGGAAAUCUAGAGUGUGGAAGAGGUAGGUGGAAUUCUAGGUGUAGCGGUGAAAUGCGUAGAGAUAAAGAGGAAUACUCAUUGCGAAGGCGACUUGCUGGACCGUAACUGACGCUGAUGCGCGAAAGCGUGGGGAGCAAACAGGAUUAGAUACCCUUGUAGUC